AGAUAAUAGAUACCCGGGUAGUCCACGCCCUAAACUAUGAUAACUGGCUUUCCGGAGUAUCGACCCUCUGGGAGGCGAAAGCUAAACGCGUUAAGUUAUCCGCCUGGGUAGUACGGCCGCAAGGCUAAAACCUCAAACGGAAUAGACGGGGGGUCUUGCACAAGCGGUGGAGCGUGUGGCUUAAUUCGUCGCUAAGCGAAGAACCUUACCAGGGCUAGAAAUCCUACUGCACGUCUAGCGAAACGCUAGAAACGCCUUCGAGGGUUGUAGGACAGGUGAUGCAUGGCUGUCGUCAGUUCGUGGUUU
rnacentral:rRNA from 1 species